rnacentral:rRNA from 1 species
GACGAACGCUGGCGGCGUGCUUAACACAUGCAAGUCGAACGGAAAGGCCCUGCUUUUGUGGGGUGCUCGAGUGGCGAACGGGUGAGUAACACGUGAGUAACCUGCCCUUGACUUUGGGAUAACUUCAGGAAACUGGGGCUAAUACCGGAUAGGAGCUCCUGCUGCAUGGUGGGGGUUGGAAAGUUUCGGCGGUUGGGGAUGGACUCGCGGCUUAUCAGCUUGUUGGUGGGGUAGUGGCUUACCAAGGCUUUGACGGGUAGCCGGCCUGAGAGGGUGACCGGCCACAUUGGGACUAAGAUACGGCCCAGACUCCUACGGGGGGCAGCAGUGGGGAAUAUUGCACAAUGGGCGGAAGCCUGAUGCAGCAACGCCGCGUGCGGGAUGACGGCCUUCGGGUUGUAAACCGCUUUCGCCUGUGACGAAGCGUGAGUGACGGUAAUGGGUAAAGAAGCACCGGCUAACUACGUG